CUUGUACUCCCUUCGUCCGAAAAUACUUGUCAUUGAAAUGGAUGUAUCUAGAUGUAUUUUAGUUCUAGACACAUCCAUUUUGAUGACAAGUAAUUCCGGACGGAGGGAGUACUUG
rfam:Triticum aestivum genome assembly, contig: Triticum_aestivum_CS42_TGACv1_scaffold_098223_2AL